AUUGAACGCUGGCGGCAGGCCUAACACAUGCAAGUCGAACGAGUGGCGGACGGGUGAGUAAUGUCUGGGAAACUGCCCGAUGGAGGGGGAUAACUCCUGGAAACGGUAGCUAAUACCGCAUCCCAUCGGAUGUGCCCAGAUGGGAUUAGCUAGUAGGUGGGGUAACGGCUCACCUAGGCGACGACCCCUCGCUGGUCUGAGAGGAUGACCCGCCACACCGUAACUGGGACACGGUCCGAAAUCCUACGGGAGGCAGCAGUGGGGAAUAUUGCACAAUGGGCGCAAGCCUGAUGCAGCCAUGCCGCGGGUAUGAAGAAGGCCUUCGGGUUGUAAAGUACUUUCAGCGAGGAGGCGUUACUCGCAGAAGAAGCACCGGCUAACUCCGUGCCAGCAGCCGCGGUAAUUC
rnacentral:rRNA from 1 species